GGAGUUAGCCGGUGCUUCUUCUGCGAGUAACGUCACAGAUGUAAGGUAUUAACUUACACCCUUUCCUCCUCGCUGAAAGUGCUUUACAACCCGAAGGCCUUCUUCACACACGCGGCAUGGCUGCAUCAGGGUUUCCCCCAUUGUGCAAUAUUCCCCACUGCUGCCUCCCGUAGGAGUCUGGGCCGUGUCUCAGUCCCAGUGUGGCUGAUCAUCCUCUCAGACCAGCUAGGGAUCGUCGCCUAGGUGAGCCUUUACCUCACCUACUAGCUAAUCCCACCUGGGCUUAUCCAUCAGCGCAAGGCCCGAAGGUCCCCUGCUUUCCCCCGUAGGGCGUAUGCGGUAUUAGCAGUCGUUUCCAACUGUUAUCCCCCACAAAUGGGCAAAUUCCCAGGCAUUACUCACCCGUCCGCCGCUCGUCAUCUUCAAAAGCAAGCUUUUGAAAUGUUACCGCUCGACUUGCAUGUGUAGCUCGCCGCCACGCGUCAUCUGAGCGAGAUACAACUACUCGA
rnacentral:rRNA from 1 species